rnacentral:rRNA from 1 species
UACGGAGGGUGCAAGCGUUAUCCGGAUUCACUGGGUUUAAAGCGCGCGUAGGUGGCUUCAUAAGUCCGUUGUGAAAGUCAAAGGCUCAACCUUUGAAAGCCGAUGGAUACUGUGAAGCUAGAGUACGGAAGAGGCGAGUGGAAUUCCUGGUGUAGCGGUGGAAUGCGCAGAUAUCAGGAGGAACACCAAUAGCGAAGGCAGCUCGCUGGGACGUUACUGACACUGAGGCGCGAAAGCGUGGGGAGCGAACAGG